UGAAGCUAAGUCCUGUCCAGUGGC
rnacentral:piRNA from 1 species